rnacentral:tRNA from 1 species
GGGUCGGUGGUGUAGUGGUAACACAUUGCAUCUAGACAUGAAAGGAAGUGGUUCGAUUCCCCACUGGUCCA